CACUCCUGCGGGAGGCAGCAGUGGGGAAUAUUGGACAAUGGGCGCAAGCCUGAUCCAGCCAUGCCGCGUGAGUGAUGAAGGCCCUAGGGUUGUAAAGCUCUUUCACCGGUGAAGAUAAUGACGGUAACCGGAGAAGAAGCCCCGGCUAACUUCGUGCCAGCAGCCGCGGUAAUACGAAGGGGGCUAGCGUUGUUCGGAUUUACUGGGCGUAAAGCGCACGUAGGCGGACUAUUAAGUCAGGGGUGAAAUCCCGGGGCUCAACCCCGGAACUGCCUUUGAUACUGGUAGUCUUGAGUUCGAGAGAGGUGAGUGGAAUUCCGAGUGUAGAGGUGAAAUUCGUAGAUAUUCGGAGGAACACCAGUGGCGAAGGCGGCUCACUGGCUCGAUACUGACGCUGAGGUGCGAAAGCGUGGGGAGCAAACAGGAUUAGAAACCCGAGUAGUCCC
rnacentral:rRNA from 1 species